GUUUUAAAGAUCUUGGAAUCAAGUUGCAGGGAGCCUCAAAAGCUAUGGAUGUCCCCCUCUUCCUUCUCCCCCUUCCCCCCCUUUCAUUACAGAUGAGGACACUGGGGGCCCUAGGAAUGGAACCUGUCUAGUCCAGCCCCUGCACACACGUUUUCCAUGGCUAUGUAGAAAUCAGGAAGUUGAAGGAGAUGGGCUUUUGAGAUCACUUCCAGCUGAAAAUCUACAAUUCUCUGAAGACAGGAUAGUUGUAUUCAAGUACUUGAAGAUCUGCCACAUUGGCGCUUUGUUUUUAUGCCCAGAGAACAGAAGGUGCAAGGGAAAAUAAACUAAAGUUCCACCCCUACUUUUAAGAAAUUUAAAGUCUGAAGAUGGAAUGUGGUCAUCCUUUGAAAUUUGAAGGAGGU
rnacentral:lncRNA from 1 species